rnacentral:rRNA from 1 species
AGUAAAAGUCGUAACAAGGUUUCCGUAGGUGAACCUGCGGAAGGAUCAUUAUCGAGUUUUUGAACGGGUUGUCUGCUGGCUCGAAAGAGCAUGUGCACGCCUGGCUCAUCCACUCUCAACUUCUGUGCACUUUUCAUAGGCCGGCUUGUGGGUGUCGCGUUCGCGCGCACUUGUAGGUCUGGCUUAUGCUCUACCACAAACGAUUCAGUUAUAGAAUGUCUUUACUUUGCGAUAACGCAAUUAUAUACAACUUUCAGCAACGGAUCUCUUGGCUCUCGCAUCGAUGAAGAACGCAGCGAAAUGCGAUAAGUAAUGUGAAUUGCAGAAUUCAGUGAAUCAUCGAAUCUUUGAACGCACCUUGCGCUCCUUGGUAUUCCGAGGAGCAUGCCUGUUUGAGUCUCGUGGAAUUCUCAACCUUCGACUUUGUUGUCGAAGGCUUGGACUUGGAGGUCGUGCCGGCUCUCGUAGUCGGCUCCUCUGAAAUGCAUCAGUGCGAACGUUACCAGCCGCUUCAGCGUGAUAAUUAUCUGCGCUGCUGUGGAGGGUAUGUCAGUGUUCGUGCUUCAAACCGUCUUCGGACAACAUUUCAUCUCUGAGCUCAAAUCAGGUAGGACUACCCGCUGAACUUAAGCAUAUCAAUAAGCG